rnacentral:rRNA from 1 species
GGSRCRGCCUAMCAUGCAGUCGAACGGUAACAGGAAGAAGCUUGCUUCUUUGCUGACGAGUGGCGGACGGGUGAGUAAUGUCUGGGAAACUGCCUGAUGGAGGGGGAUAACUACUGGAAACGGUAGCUAAUACCGCAUAACGUCGCAAGACCAAAGAGGGGGACCUUCGGGCCUCUUGCCAUCGGAUGUGCCCAGAUGGGAUUAGCUWGUWGGUGGGGUAACGGCUCACCWAGGCGACGAUCCCUAGCUGGUCUGAGAGGAUGACCAGCCACACUGGAACUGAGACACGGUCCAGACUCCUACGGGAGGCAGCAGUGGGGAAUAUUGCACAAUGGGCGCAAGCCUGAUGCAGCCAUGCCGCGUGUAUGAAGAAGGCCUUCGGGUUGUAAAGUACUUUCAGCGGGGAGGAAGGGAGUAAAGUUAAUACCUUUGCUCAUUGACGUUACCCGCAGAAGAAGCACCGGCUAACUCCGUGCCAGCAGCCGCGGUAAUACGGAGGGUGCAAGCGUUAAUCGGAAUUACUGGGCGUAAAGCGCACGCAGGCGGUUUGUUAAGUCAGAUGUGAAAUCCCCGGGCUCAACCUGGGAACUGCAUCUGAUACUGGCAAGCUUGAGUCUCGUAGAGGGGGGUAGAAUUCCAGGUGUAGCGGUGAAAUGCGUAGAGAUCUGGAGGAAUACCGGUGGCGAAGGCGGCCCCCUGGACGAAGACUGACGCUCAGG